GACGAACGCUGGCGGCGUGCUUAACACAUGCAAGUCGAACGGAAAGGCCCUGCUUUUGUGGGGUGCUCGAGUGGCGAACGGGUGAGUAACACGUGAGUAACCUGCCCUUGACUUUGGGAUAACUUCAGGAAACUGGGGCUAAUACCGGAUAGGAGCUCCUGCUGCAUGGUGGGGGUUGGAAAGUUUCGGCGGUUGGGGAUGGACUCGCGGCUUAUCAGCUUGUUGGUGGGGUAGUGGCUUACCAAGGCUUUGACGGGUAGCCGGCCUGAGAGGGUGACCGGUCGCACGGGAAGUGGGACACGGUCGAGACUCAUACGGGAGGCAGGAGGGGGGAAUAGGGGACACUGGGCGAAAGCCGGAUCCAGCCAUGCCGCGUGUUUGAAGAAGGUCUUCGGAUGGUAAAGCACUUUGAGUGGGGAGGAAAGGCAGUAAGUUAAGACCGUGCUGUGUUGACGUGAGUAACAGAAGAAGCACCGGCUAGCUUCGUG
rnacentral:rRNA from 1 species